GUAAAUAUAGUUUAACUAAGACAUUAGAUUGUGAGUCUAAAAAUAGGGGAUUAUAUCCCCUUAUUUACC
rnacentral:tRNA from 1 species